AUGGAGACGCUGUUGGGGAUGCCCAUGGCGGUGAGCCCCAGCCCUUUCUCGCCGUCGACAUCCGACGUGUUGGGGUACAGCAGCAUGUACGGCAUCUUCACCGGCCCGUUCCGGUUCUUGAGCGCCGGGUCCUUGUUCAUGUCCAGGAUCCGCUUCUCGAUCUCCAUCAGCCGGGUGCCGAACCUCUUGAACGCCUCCAGGGCCUUGGCGUCCGACGUCCACUCCGGCGUGUCACGCUGCCCCAGGUACACCUCGUCGGAGGAGUGCUUGGACAGGAUCUCGAUGAGCGUGAUGCCCAGGAUGGUCUGGAACUGGCUGGUGAUGGUGUGGAUGAACACCUUGUCGGCCUCCUUCCCGCCCUUCUGCAGCUGCUUGUACUCCUCUUCGCCCUCCUCCGGCAUCUUCCGACGGCUCACAGUCGGCCGCGCCGACGCCACCCAGAUGAUGGUGGUGCACGUCUUGGCCAGCUCCUGCACGGUCACCAUCCUGGGCCACCAGUCCGCGUCCUUGAGGUCGCCAUGCCCGACCUCGCGCACCUCCUUCCACCACUCCUCCAGCUCCUUGUCGGCCCGGAGCACGCCGUCGUUGGGGUAG
rnacentral:rRNA from 1 species